rnacentral:rRNA from 1 species
AUCAUUACAGAGUUACUACUCCAAACCCAUUGUGAACCUUACCUAUGUUCUGUUGCCUCGGCGGCGUGGUCAGCGCCCCCUCUGAAAAGAGGACGAUGCCCUCCCGCCGGCAGCACCAAACUCUUUGAAUUUUACAGCGGAUUACAGUUCUGAUUUGAAAACAAAAAACAAGUUAAAACUUUCAACAACGGAUCUCUUGGUUCUGGCAUCGAUGAAGAACGCAGCGAAAUGCGAUAAGUAAUGUGAAUUGCAGAAUUCAGUGAAUCAUCGAAUCUUUGAACGCACAUUGCGCCCGGCAGUAAUCUGCCGGGCAUGCCUGUCCGAGCGUCAUUUCAACCCUCGAACCUCCGUUUCCUCAGGGAAGCUCAGGGUCGGUGUUGGGGCGCUACGGCGAGUCUUCGCGACCCUCCGUAGGCCCUGAAAUACAGUGGCGGUCCCGCCGCGGUUGCCUUCUGCGUAGUAAGUCUCUUUUGCAAGCUCGCAUUGGGUCCCGGCGGAGGCCUGCCGUCAAACCACCUAUAACUCCAGAUGGUUUGACC